rnacentral:rRNA from 1 species
AGAGUUUGAUCCUGGCUCAGGACGAACGCUGGCGGCGUGCCUAAUGCAUGCAAGUCGCACGCAUCGUGCUUGCACGAUGAGUGGCGCACGGCUGAGGAACACGUGGGCACCGACCCCGCCGUGGGGGAUAACGCGCCGAAAGGCGCGCUAAUCCCGCAUACGGUCCCUCCGUGAGGGGGGAAGAAAGCGGUAACGCGCGGUGGGACGGGCCUGCGGCCCAUCAGGUAGUCGGCGGGGUAACGGCCCACCGAGCCGAUGACGGGUAGCUGGUCUGUGAGGACAACCAGCCAGACUGGGACUGAGACACGGCCCAGACUCCUACGGGAGGCAGCAGCAAGGAAUUUUCCCCAAUGGGCGCAAGCCUGAGGGAGCAACGCCGCGUGCGGGAAGACGGCCUUCGGGUUGUAAACCGCUUUUGGGUGGGAAGAUGAUGACGGUACCACCCGAACAAGCCUCGGCUAACUCUGUGCCAGCAGCCGCGGUAAUAC